rnacentral:rRNA from 1 species
AAGCGUACACGGUGGAUGCCCUGGCAGUCAGAGGCGAUGAAGGGCGUGCUAAUCUGCGAUAAGCGCCGGUAAGGUGAUAUGAACCGUUAUAACCGGCGAUACCCGAAUGGGGAAACCCAGUGUGAUUCGUCACACUAUCAUUAACUGAAUCCAUAGGUUAAUGAGGCGAACCGGGGGAACUGAAACAUCUAAGUACCCCGAGGAAAAGAAAUCAACCGAGAUUCCCCCAGUAGCGGCGAGCGAACGGGGAGGAGCCCAGAGCCUGAAUCAGCAUGUGUGUUAGUGGAAGCGUCUGGAAAGGCGCGCGAUACAGGGUGACAGCCCCGUACACAAAAGCGCAUGUGCUGUGAGCUCGAUGAGUAGGGCGGGACACGUGGUAUCCUGUCUGAAUAUGGGGGGACCAUCCUCCAAGGCUAAAUACUCCUGACUGACCGAUAGUGAACCAGUACCGUGAGGGAAAGGCGAAAAGAACCCCGGCGAGGGGAGUGAAAAAGAACCUGAAACCGUGUACGUACAAGCAGUGGGAGCACCCUUUGGGUGUGACUGCGUACCUUUUGUAUAAUGGGUCAGCGACUUAUAUUC